GUGCGUCGCGUCCCCGAGCGUGUCGCGGCGGGCCCGGCACCGGCCCCGCUCCAGCGCCCGCCCCCGGCCCGCGCCCCGGGCCCCGCGCGCAUACCUGGCGAGGCCACGAGGGGAUUCUGCGGGCCGAGCCCCGCCUGGGCUGCGCCGCCGCAGGCGGGAGAGGCUGAGGAUUCUUUUGGGAAGCCCCUCCGCCGGCUGUAACCCCAGGGCCGUGCCACCCUCCUGAUCACCGCAAGCAUGGACCCCCCAGCACGCUGCGGAUGCCUGGUAUCCAACUGCACUUCUCCAUGUGUGCAUUGUCCCCUGAGCUGGCAAGAAGAUCCUACUAGUUGGUCUGCAUGCCAUGCCAGCUCGGCCUUGCACCCUGGGGGCCCAGCUGUUGUCCACACCAAGGGUGGCCUACAGAGGGAAGUGAGGACCUUGGGACUUCCUCCAGGACAGCCCUCGCUGUCCAAAUCUCCACCUGCUGCAGAGCUGCCUCCAGUCAAGCCCUUGUUUCCAGCUUUCUGUGCCCUAAAUAAACUUCUGCUGGGAUUGAGCCAUCAGCAUUCUGUGGUGGGCGUCGCUGCUGCGAGGUUGCCCUCGUGCACACAAGCUCCUCACAGGUAAAGGUGAUCUGCCUGUGGACAUACUUGUUACAGAAGUUUCCCACCUGCUGUGCGCAUCUUGCCUGUGUGCAGUCACCAUUCUUUAUGCAGUUGGUGCCUCCAUCUGCUCCUGUGUGGUUUCUUCUUUUGGUUCCUUUAUUAUCUCUCUUUUGGUGCUGUUUCCCAGGGACUUAACUGCUGGAAGUUUGAUAAAUCCUCAACUCUCAAAUUCACCCUUUUCUAUAGAUUUAAACAGACAUUGAAUGUUUCACCUAGCAUUGGGG
rnacentral:lncRNA from 1 species